AAUCUACCUUUCACAGAGGGAUAGCCCAGAGAAAUUUGGAUUAAUACCUCAUAGUAUAGUACCUUGGCAUCAAGGAACUAUUAAAGAUUUAUCGGUGAAAGAUGAGCAUGCGUCCCAUUAGCUAGAUGGUAAGGUAACGGCUUACCAUGGCUACGAUGGGUAGGGGUCCUGAGAGGGAGAUCCCCCACACUGGUACUGAGACACGGACCAGACUCCUACGGGAGGCAGCAGUGAGGAAUAUUGGUCAAUGGGCGCAAGCCUGAUCCAGCCAUGCCGCGUGCAGGAAGAAGGUCCUAUGGAUUGUAAACUGCUUUUAUACAGGAAGAAACACCUCUACGUGUAGAGACUUGACGGUACUGUAUGAAUAAGGACCGGCUAACUCCGUGCCAGCAGCCGCGGUAAUACGGAGGGUCCAAGCGUUAUCCGGAAUCAUUGGGUUUAAAGGGUCCGUAGGCGGCCAAAUAAGUCAGUGGUGAAAGCCCAUCGCUCAACGAUGGAACGGCCAUUGAUACUGUUUGGCUUGAAUUAUUAGGAAGUAACUAGAAUAUGUAGUGUAGCGGUGAAAUGCUUAGAGAUUACAUGGAAUACCAAUUG
rnacentral:rRNA from 1 species